UUUUCACUGUAUUAAAACAGAUUUUGAAGUUUAAAAAUAGAAAUUAAUGAAUUGCAUGUUAAUUAUAUAUUGAGUUACUGUAAUUAAGUAAUAAACAAUGAUUUGCAUUUUUAGUUCUUUGAAAAUUGAUAGGAACUUUAACAAUAAGUAAAAUGUCUGGCAGUAUUGAAUACGAUGGAUCCCCGAAGUGAAGUAUGAAUUCGGUUUGCACAUAAAUAUGAGUUGGUGUCUGAGAAAACAGGACUUAAAUGUAUGUACGGAAAAAAAUCGUCUCAGAUCAGCCUGUACAUUCCCCACAGGCUAAUCAAAGAUGGCACUUGCCACUUGUAUGGAAUUCUUCACUUAAACUAAAUUUCUUGUUAAUGAAAAUCCAGUCUAGGUGUUAAAUGUCAUUCAAGGCUAAUCUUUAAGAUACUUUACACACAUGUAUUAUCCCUUUACCACUUAGAUACGUAUUUUGACGCAUUUUUUGUUCCUUAGAAAGUUAUAUUUAAUUUAAGACCUUUCUUAGUAGAUUCAAGUUUUUAUGCCCCCCUUCGAAGAAGAGGGGGUAUAUUGCUUUGCUCAUGUCGGUCGGUCUGUCGGUCCGUCCACCAGGUGGUUGUCAGACGAUAACUCAAGAACGCUUGGGCCUAGGAUCAUGAAACUUCAUAGGUACAUUGAUCAUGACUCGUAGAUGACCCCUAUUGAUUUUGAGGUCACUAGGUCAAAGGUCAAGGUCAUGGUGACCAGAAAUAGUAUAAUGGUUUUUGAAUGAUAACUCAAGAACGCAUACGCCUAGGAUCAUGAAACUUCAUGGGUAGAUUGAUCAUGACUUGCAGAUGACCCCUAUUGAUUUUGAGGUCACAAGGUCAAAGGUCAAGGUCACGGUGACCCGAAAUAGUAAAAUGGUUUUCGGAUGAUAACUCAAGAACGCUUUUGCCUAGGAUCAUGACACUUCAUAGGUACAUUGAUCGUGACCCGCAGAUGACCCCUAUUGAUUUUCAGGUCACUAGGUCAAAGGUCAAGGUCACAGUGACAAAAAUCGUAUUCACACAAUGGCUGCCACUACAACGGACAGCCCAUAUGAGGGGCAUGCAUGUUUUACAAACAGCCCUUGUUAAGUCUUCAUCUCCAAACCUCAGAUACUGAUGAACAGCAAACAUCAUAAAACCUGAACAGCCUGCGAGUAACUCUGUUUUCACAUGGCCUUUUUCACUGUGAUUCUGAGAGGGAAAGGUUAAGUCUUGUUUUCCCAAAGCACAGCUCAUUUGUUUUUACUGUUC